UGGGGAAUAUUGGACAAUGGGGGGAACCCUGAUCCAGCCAUGCCGCGUGUGUGAAGAAGGCCUUAUGGUUGUAAAGCACUUUAAGCGAGGAGGAGGGUACUGGUAUUAAUACUACCAGCUACUGGACGUUACUCGCAGAAUAAGCACCGGCUAACUCUGUGCCAGCAGCCGCGGUAAUACAGAGGGUGCGAGCGUUAAUCGGAUUUACUGGGCGUAAAGCGUGCGUAGGCGGCUAAUUGAGUCGGAUGUGAAAUCCCCGAGCUUAACUUGGGAAUUGCAUUCGAUACUGGUUAGCUAGAGUGUGGGAGAGGAUGGUAGAAUUCCAGGUGUAGCGGUGAAAUGCGUAGAGAUCUGGAGGAAUACCGAUGGCGAAGGCAGCCAUCUGGCCUAACACUGACGCUGAGGUAUGAAAGCAUGGGGAGCAAACAGG
rnacentral:rRNA from 1 species